UGCCAAAAAAUAAUCGAUAAAUGUUUUUUUGACGAUUAAUUGCAGAUGAUACGAUUAUGCCCAACCCUACUAUGAAGUAAUUUAUGUGUUUACAGAAAGUUCUUUGCAAAUAUAAAUUAUUUUUCAUAUAAUUUCUUAAUUUGACAGAUUUCUCCCCUAAAAUGUCUAUUUAAAUCAAAGAGAAUACAGGAACAUAAUUCAUGAAGUCAUUUAGUAUUAUUUAUUUUUCAUAUUUGAUAUUGUAUGAAUUAUAUUUAUCACAGUAAUCACGUUCUUUUUGAUUUAUCACAGUAGUUACCUCUUAGUUUAGUUUUAAAUUUAUUAAAGGUUUGCACAUCCAAACAGACAAAACACCUUAUUAUUGCUAAAACAUUAUGUAGGAUUAACUUGUGCAGAUAUAUGUGAUAAAAUACAACCAGCUGAAACUGACGAACUUCAUGAGUUUAAGGAAAAUAAAAUUUAAACAGAGACACGUCUUUGCUGUAAUCUGGAAUCUAAAGAAGAAAGCAGCUGCUGCCUCCCGCCUCACCGUGAGAGAAAACAGUCUGAGCGCAUGCACGCAGGAGAGCUGUCUCUGUCGGACCUGGAGUUUGGUCACGUGCUCAAGUUACACAUGCCUGUAAGAUAACGAUGAAGCUUGGAACACAUUAACGUUUGAUACAAAGUUAGACUUUAGAUACAAAACUCUGGGCAGGUCGGGGCUCAGUUCGGGAGGAGGGGUGGGGGUAACGGUGUACCAAUUCAGGUAUCUCAUCGGUUGAAAUGGACUGCUCAUGUGCGAACAKAUACGUUUAAUUCUUAAAUGUUUAAUAAUUUAUUACAUUACUUCACCUUCAUUGGGCGACGGGCCGUUCUGUUAGGUAGCGGGUCGCGGCGUCAUCUUGAAAAAAAGUAGAGAAAACGAUAUUUACUCCCGCAGUCUGUUUCUCUGCUUACAGACUGUAGCACCCGCCCUGCUCUGCUCUGAUUGGCUAAAACUGUGACUGGUUCUCUUUAUUGUUUUAAAGCACCGUUAGUCAAAUCCAGCCAGAUAGAAGCCCCCGACAACACACGUUUUUUUUCUUCUCUGCUCCUCUUCACCUUUAAGAUAUCCGCAGCGGAGACGAAGAAAUCUGUCCUGCCUGACAAAACUUAAGACCCUUGGGUAAUGUAUUCAAGACUAACUUACACGUUAUUCAUAAAUUCAAUACUUUUAAAGACACUUCAUUUUAGAAA